GACGAACUGUGCAAACGUUAUUCGGAAUCACUGGGCUUGAAGAGUGCGUAGGCGGCCAACUAAGUCGGACGUGAAAUCCCCAGGCUCAACCUGGGAACUGCGUCCGAUACUGGAUGGCUUGAAUCCGGGAGAGGGAUGCAGAAUUCCAGGUGUAGCGGUGAAAUGCGUAGAUAUCUGGAGGAAUACCGGUGGCGAAGGCGGCAUCCUGGACCGGCAUUGACGCUGAGGAGCGAAAGCCAGGGGAGCAAACGGG
rnacentral:rRNA from 1 species